UCAAUAAGUAAAUGAGCAAAAGAUCUCAAAACUUGCCUUCUAGUGAAAGACCCCCGGAGUGGGGAGACCCUCACUCAAGUCUCAGGAUGAUGCGACCCCCCCAAGAACUCACACAAGACC
rnacentral:pre_miRNA from 14 species